AAUAAGUUAUUGUUAUUCAAACUACUUGUAUAAAUGUAUGCAAUUAUUCUCUCCUUCAUAUUAUGUACAUUAGUAAUAGUCUCAUAUAUUAAUUAUAAAAUGCACUUAAGAAGACAUAGUGUCAAAAACCUUGUUACAAAUAUUAAAUAGUAAUUACUAGGAAUCGGAUAAUCCCUGGGCACAUAUAUUUGUAGGUCAUAUUACGAAGACAAUAAACGGAGCAUGUAUUAGGAUUUAUAUGUUUGAGAAUGUUACAUGUUAAUUAAAUGACCCGAUGUCGUUUAAAUGAAUAUCGUAAUAAGUGACGAAAUAUUAAAUUUCACGGUACAACAUUUUUGUCUAUGGAGUUCACUUGGUAUUGUCUGACACGAGUGAUAGAGAAGAUGAACUGGUGGGCGUGGCUACAGAACUGCGAGACUGCGCCCUACCCACCCUGAUUGGUAACGAAGUCUUAACAACUGAUGAAGCCACAGUUUGCUUACCAAUAAUUACAAUAUUUUAAUGAAACUUGACAGUUAAUAAUUGCAGCUUUUAUCCAAAAGUCGUACAAACUUUCGUGAGUCGUGCAUGUAAGGUUAAGUUGAGCCACAUUCUAGGUCAUCAUAUUUUGAAGCCUAAGACUUUAUUAUCCAACUAAAACUCACUUGCGGAAAAUACAAAGUGGUUUUACCAAAUAUAAGCAGAUAUACUCGUAGUAGAUGAAUGUCAGUAAUGCAUAUUGUACAGAUUACAGAUUAUUUACUACUUACACAUCUUCUUUAAAAAGUUUCCGAUUAAAAGAUGGUGACACAUAAAACUCUUAAUGUUUCGGAUAAUUUUGUUAUUAUGUAUAGCCCCCGUAUGUAAUGUCAUAUAAAUUUAUGAGUUCCUGUUGCUGUAGGCGUGUCCACCACUGCCGACUUCUGCGCGGCCUGCACAGUUGCUGACAUCAUUCUCGUCUUACCAGAUGUUGAACGCUUUGAUAACCCUGGCAACCGUCAGUUAGAUACCUUCUGGAGUAGAUUGUCACAUGUUGACUUUCAAGCACUGGACGGGGCGUUGCAUCCUGACACUAACAGACAGACUAUGAGAUCCGUUAAUGCACGUGGUCCACUGUCGGCUGCACGUGCAAUCGCUGAUAGCAUGAGACGCGUGCACGUGGAGGCGCUUCAGAACGACAUUCAAAUGACCUUAGACCCACGGGAGAAGUCUGAGUUUUGCUAUGUACCUGUACCGUUCGUGUCGAGCACUUACCCAGACAUAUGUGAAAACCACUUGUCCGUUACCCGCACAGCAGAAUUCUUUCAGAAGACCGGUGCCUUGGUACUGAUUGCGAGCGUAAAUAAGGAAUUAAUUGACUGUGUUUUAGAAAAGGCAACUAGGCUUAAAGAAGUUGGCAUGACGUCAUCACUGCAUUCCAGACUGUGACACAUUUACUUUCUUGUCUCCAGUGUGUUUUGUGGUGCUUGUUCGUAAUAACAUGAUUUUGGUGCUUACCUGCUUUACAAAUUGAUUAAUCAGUUAACUAAUGUAUGUAUUGCUUCUCUGGUAAAAACAAUUAAUAAACUAUAUAAUUAAAAUUGUUUCACCACGUCAACCAGACCUCCAGUCUCAUUCAAAACGAUCAGAACGAUCACUGACCUGAAAUGGAUGAUAAUGGCAUCAGGGUGGACAAUGGAAACGUUUAUCAAGUGAAAGACAAACCAGAAUAUGCAGGACAAACAAGUUUGGCCAUUUGCGGUUACGAAACUACUUCUUUUGAUUGGCAAUUAAGCCCAUUAAAGUCUCUAAAUUUGCAAUAAACAUCUUAUUCAUUAGACUUUAAAAAAAUACUAUUGGUAUUUCACACUUUAAUAAAGAUAAUCAGUGACAUAAAUAUUUCUAAUCUGUUUGCAACAUAUCUUUCUUUAUUUUUUCAUUUUGUUCCAUUUUUUCAAAUAUAAUUGAAUGUGUAAAAUAAAAAAAGAUCAUGAACAAUCA